rnacentral:lncRNA from 1 species
UGAAGUAGCGCAGCGCCUGGCAUCGGCACUGCUGCGGAAUGUUUGCAAGCUGCUCACAGCACUCCUGCUUGGCGAGGUACGGCGGCCCGGGCAUUUCGAUACGACAUGCUUGUUCUUCCACAUAGUUACGGCAGCUUGGGAGUGGAGUGAUCAGAGUACUCGUCCAUGGGGUGCAAUCUUCAUUGCCGACGGCGGCAACGGCGGCAAAGAUGAAGACUAGGAGGGCCGCGAAGAGGAGAUUGUAGUUGGACUUGGACGCCAUAUUUUUGGAUGGAGGCCAAGUUCGUUGGUGUGGUUUUUUCUUUUGCACUGCACUGGUGGGU